UUUCACUUCCAGGUCUGUUUCCUUGUUUGUGUGUGUAUGUAUCAGUUUUGUCAGGCUCUCAAAAUAAAAAAAAUAGUCCAGAAGCCUGGCUUCAUACCAUGGAGCCAAGUUAGGGAGGGGGCAUCUCCAUGUUCAACCACACCCUCAGAACUUAGAGCAAUAAAUACAUUCAGUCAUUUAUUUCCUUAUAAAUGAAUGACAGAAUAUUCAAUCCAAAUAGAAACCACCUUUUUUCAGUGAUGCAACAUAACAUGGAGUCUUGUGUGAAGAAAGUGAAUCUGAAUGUUUUCAAAUAGAUACCUAGAGAAUCCGUGUCUGCUGUUUACAUUUGGUGUGCUUUGCCACAUGAGCAGUACCACACUUUUGUCUUUGAACCUUCUGGGGGCUAAUGAAUGAUAGUUUGCUAUUAGCUCUGAUGUACUGCACAUGCCAUCGUGUUGUUCUCUAAGAACAACAAAAUUCUCUCCCAUGUUCCUUUCUCACUCACUGUUACUCUAACGUGGAUGAAUACUAUUUUUAGGAACUUGAUUAUCAAUGAACAGAUUGCAUUGGAAAUGCAGAUCAUUCUUGAGCAAUAUAGUGAAUAUGACUUCACACAAAAAAAUCUGUAUGUACUGUACACAUCUUCCUGAAUUCAAAAUUCUCUUCUUAUCCACAAUGGUUUGAAAUCUCAUAUAUAACAGUGGUAAAUGCUUAAACAUUAGGACAUUAGCUGGCUGCUUCUUUAAAUGUACCUGUGUUGUCUGUUGCUCCUUUUGUGGAGAUGUGUUUUUGUAUUGGAUGUUUGGGCCAAUGGGAGGCUUCAAGCUACAACAUAUUUUCCCAGUUUAAAUAUAUUUAACAUAUGACAAACCCCAGACAAGGCUUUUAAUAUGUAUAAAGAACUGCAGUGUUAGGUGGUUUAUUUGCAAACCGUUUUCAAUAUUGUCCAUUUUUAUGGCACCUUUAACAAUAUUGUUUCCAAAGUACAAAAAAAGGUUAAAUAAUCUAGCCAUAACUGAAUGUCAAGCAAUAAAACAAAUGACUUUUGUGCAUAGACUUAAAAAAUACAAAUUUUAGACAUCUGCAUGUAAAUGCAAUCUCUUGUUUACUGCUUUCAACUUGAGCGAUUGAUUCCUUAUUUACUAUUAACUUAAGAACUUGUAAUGGCCUGUAAACAUUUUCUCUCUUACUCUUCCUUCAAGUUUACCUUCGUCCCUGCUUUUGAGUCAUAAUAUUUAAUGUUGUUCUGCACAUCUCUAUACAGUUAACUUUUUGGCUUUCAUUCUGUAUAGAUAAGAAAAUGUUAUAUUAUAAACAGCCUACUCAGUGCAAAUAUUUAUCUGUUUAUCAAAUCCACAAUAUGCUGUAUAAUAUCGGUUUUACUAUAUAAUCUAUUUUAGACAUAGCUGUUUAGAACUAGAGUGUGCUAUUUUUGUGUUUUUCUGAUGUGUGGUGCUAGAUAAGUUACUUUUGUGAACAAAAAAAAAUUAUCCCUUUUAUUCCUAGACAAUACCACCUUUGGGUCUUGUUAAUUUCACUGAGUAUAACUAUAUAUUUGUAUAUAUAUACAUAUUAUAUAUAUAUAUAUAUAUACACAAAUAUAUAUAUAUAUCUACCUGUGCCCAACUAGCAGCUGUAUCAGAGUGCUAGAUUUGGGACAUGCUUUUCUCUUUAAAUACAUACUGUCAUUAUAUAAAUUAUUCUAGAGUAUAUUUAAUUAGGAUAAAAUUACUUCCUUAGUAUGGAUAUUUGACAUCUAUAUGGUGAAUCUGUUUAUAAAUAUGGACAUAUGAAAAUUUAUUUGCAUUGACUUUUAUGUUUGCUACUAUUUGGCUUUAUUCUAUAUCUCCUUAGCUGAAAAAUACUUGGCCAGACCUUCAAGAUCCCAAAGAAACAUUCUCAUUUAAUGGAAUAAUACAUUUUUCUCUUAAGGAAUUAUAUCAUUGGUACUUGACAGAUUUGUAUACUUAACUCCUAUUCUAGAAUAUAAGCAAUUAUAUCAAAUUUUCAUGGUGGCUUGACAGCAGACUAGACCUUUCCCAGCCUGAGUCAUAAGAAGUAUGGAAACAUCCAUUGGAAGAACAUGGGCCAUCCAAUUCGACAAAGGAUAGUGUGUUUUAACAUUAUCUCAACCAUCUCAACUAGUUCUAUGAACUGAAUAAAACAGCUUCAUUUCUACAGUCAUUUAAUAAUGAGCUUAAACACUUUCAUUUAUUUUCCCAAAACCUACUGGCAUUGUUAAAAAUCAGACUAUAUCAAAUAUCUAACUAAGGAUGUAGUUAGCCUUAUUAAAUAUUGAUUAGAAUUGUUCUGUAAUAUUACUGAAUUUGUAAGAUCUUUAGCAAAGAUUUUUGAGCAAUUUAUAAAUAUAGAGCAAAUGUUUCUGUUUACUGCACUUUUUGUAACUGAAAGUGAUAAAUUCUCAAGCCAUGAUCAGUGGCUCCCAUGCACUGCAUAUUUACCCACCAUUCUAGAUAUUUUCCAUUUUUAUGGAAGAGUUCAUAUUACCUUAAUUAUAAAUGCAAUUGUGUGGUUCAUGAAAGCGAAUGCUAAUAGUUAACCCUUUAGAGUGAAUUGGCUACUGUUUAGGGAGAAAUCGCUGAACACAAAUCACGUCAUUCCUUAACUGUCUCACUUGGAAAGAGAUUAAAACUUUUUUUAAGGCACUAUUUAGCAUCCUAAGCACCCCUAGGGUAGACAGUGUAUCUCUUUGUGCCUGCACAAUGGCCAGCACAUGUCAGCAUCUGCUAAUUAUUAAAUUACAAGUGGCCCCAAUUAAAACUUUUUUCCUGGGUUGUUUUGGCAAAUUUAUGAAGUAUACCAAGCCUUAUGAUUAACAUUUUCUUCUACAACCAAGAAUAAAAACCACAUUUAAAAAGACCACAUGAAAUGUUGAUUCUAAUUGUGUGUAGGUCUUGAGGAUUAAGCACACAAAUUUCACAAAACUCUGUGAGUAACAAACUCAGCCUUCUGUAAAUAUACAUGCAAGUUUGAAAAGUGAUACUGUACCUAUAAACAUAUGCUGUCUGUGUACAGUAUGUAAAAUCUCCUUUUCUGCCACACUAAAAAUGCAAGCCAUUUACAAGAAUCCUAAAAAAUAGCAUUGAACUAAAACUUUGCUAAUGAUCUUUAUUAGAGCAUCAUCCAACUUCUCACUUACAUUGGGUUUUCUUUUCAAUUCACUCUUUACAGUAGUCUGCUUAUUUCCAGCUGUUUAUUUUCUUGACUCUUGAAUUUAAAAAAAAAUAUUUUGAUUCAUUUUGUAAAUACAAGCUGUAAAAAAGAGAGAUUUAAUGUUGUCUUUUAAAUACUCCGAUUUUCAUUCUAAUAUGAAUGUUGUUAUAUUGUACUUAGAAACUGUACCUUUAAUAUUACAUUACCUUUAUUAAAAGUGCAUCGAACACAUCAAUUUUAGAUGUGCUUUAUGUACUGUUAUCCUAUAAUAAAACUUCAG
rnacentral:lncRNA from 1 species